AUUGAACGCUGGCGGCCGGCCUAACACAUGCAAGUCGAACGAGUGGCGGACGGGUGAGUAAUGUCUGGGAAACUGCCUGAUGGAGGGGGAUAACUACUGGAAACGGUAGCUAAUACCGCAUACCAUCGGAUUUGCCCAGAUGGGAUUAGCUAGUAGGUGGGGUAAAGGCUCACCUAGGCGACGAUCCCUAGCUGGUCUGAGAGGAUGACCAGCCACACCGAGACUGAGACACGGUCCAGACUCCUACGGGAGGCAGCAGUGGGGAAUAUUGCACAAUGGGUGCAAGCCUGAUGCAGCCAUGCCGCGUGGAUGAAGAAGGCCUUCGGGUCGUAAAGUACUUUCAGCGGGGAGGCGUUACCCACAGAAGAAGCACCGGCUAACUCAGUGCCAGCAGCCGCGGUAAUUC
rnacentral:rRNA from 1 species